AUGAACUACAACAUCUCGGCCGAGUACCUCGGGUUCUCCAGGCGCGGCCACAACCUCCGGAGCUUCCCUGAUGGCGUGCGCAACUGCUACACGCUCCGGUCCCUGGUGUCCGGCCUCAAGUACCUGAUCCGCGCCGGCUUCCUCUAUGGAAACUACGACGGCCUCAACAGGCCGCCCGCGUCGUUCGACCUCCACAUCGGCGUCAACUUCUGGAAGACGGUGAACAUGUCGACGUGGGGGGCAGACCAGGGCAACACGGCGACGGUGGAGGCCAUCAUCGUCGUGCCAAACGACCUGCUGCAGGUGUGCCUGGUGAAUACCGGCAGCGGGACGCCCUUCAUCUCCAGUCUGGACCUGAGGCCCUUGAAGAGGACGUUCUACCCACAGGCGACGGCCGAGCAGGGGCUGGUCAUGCUGGCCAGGUUGAACGCCGCCCCGGUAAACAAAACGGGCACCAUAAGGUACCCCGAUGAUCCACAUGACCGGCUGUGGUACCCGUGGUUCGACGCCACGAUUUGGGCAGAGAUCUCGACGACCGAGAGAGUGUACGGCGUUGGCGACGACCUCUUCGAGGUGCCAUGGAAGGUGAUGCAGACCGCGAUUGUGACGCGGAACACCUCCAAGAACAUCUGGUUCGGCUGGGAGUCCCUAGACGCGGAGCCCCGAGACGACGACCCGUCCCGGCCGGGGUACGUUGCCAUCUUGCACUUCGCUGAGCUGCAGCUCCUCAACGCCAGCAACGGGGAGCUGCGCCAGUUCUACAUCAACCUGAAUGAUGAGCUCGCAUACCCGACGGGCUUCACGCCGGAGCACCUCGUCAGCAACGCGAUUUAUGAUACCAAGCCCAGCCGGCAUAGCGGCUACAAUUUCUCCAUCAACGCCACCGCAAACUCGACGCUGCCGCCCAUUCUGAACGCCGUUGAGGUGUACUAUGUCAUACCCACCACCAACCUUGGCACCGACUCUCAGGAUGCAUCUGCCGCCAUGGUGAUUAAGGCCAAGUACGGGGUACGAAAGAACUGGAUGGGUGACCCAUGCUUUCCCAGGACUAUGGCCUGGGAUGGGUUGAACUGCAGCUAUGCCGCUGCCAACCCUCCAAGGAUCACAAGCAUAAACCUGUCCUCCAGUGGUCUAAAGAGUGAUAUAUCAUCAUCUUUCACGCAUCUAAAGGCUCUCCAAUACUUGGAUUUGUCAAACAAUAACUUGACAGGUUCAAUUCCAGAUGCCCUUUCACAGUUAUCAUCAUUGACAGUCAUAGAUUUGUCUGGCAACCAACUCAAUGGUUCAAUUCCCUCUGGACUUCUCAAAAGAAUUCAAGAUGGCUCCCUGGAUCUAAGACAUGGCAACAAUCCAAAUAUGUGCACCGACGGCAAUUCAUGUCAGCUUGCUGCUAUAAGGAAGAGCAAACUGGCCAUCUAUGUUGCCGUCCCUAUACUUGUGGUGAUAGUAUCAGUGUCCCUACUAGUCUUGUUCUUUCUAAGACGACGAAACCAGCAGAAAGGAUCAAUGAAAAACAGGACAACGGUAAAGCCACAAAAUGAAGAGGCGAUGUCGACGAGCUAUGGCGGCGAUGAUGAUUCUCUGCGACUAGUUGAGAAUCGCCGGUUCACGUACGAGGAACUCGAGAGGAUAACUAAUGGCUUUGAUCGGGUGCUUGGCCAAGGAGGGUUCGGCUAUGUCUAUGAUGGCUUCCUGGAGGAUGGUACUCAAGUGGCGGUGAAGUUGCGGUCUCACUCCUCCAAUCAAGGUGUCAAGGAGUUCCUCGCAGAGGCUCAGAUUUUGACCCGGAUUCAUCACAAGAAUCUUGUCUCGAUGAUUGGUUACUGCAAGGAUGGGGAGUAUAUGGCACUUGUGUAUGAGUACAUGGCACAAGGGACCCUGCGAGAGCACAUUGCAGGAAGCGGACGUACUGGAGGAUGUUUACCAUGGAGGCAGAGACUUAAAAACGCACUUGAACCUGCACAAGGGUUGGAGUAUCUGCACAUGGGUUGCAACCCGCCUCUCAUUCACAGGGAUGUCAAGGCCACCAACAUUCUGCUGAAUGCCAGACUAGAGGCCAAGAUCGCCGAUUUUGGCUUGACGAAAGCCUUUGACUACCACAACAACACCCUUCUUUUCACGAACACGCUCGCUUUUACCCCCGGGUACGUUGAUCCAGAGUACCAGGCCACGAUGCAGCCAACGACCAAGAGCGACGUGUACAGCUUUGGAGUGGUGCUGCUGGAGCUGGUCACCGGGAAACCAGCCAUUCUUUCGGACCCAGAGCCCACAAGCAUCGUCCUAUGGGCAAGGCAGCGGCUGGCACGCGGCAACAUGGAGGGCGUGGUGGACGCGCGAAUGCAGGGUGGUUAUGAUAUCAACGGCGUGUGGAAGGUGGCGGAGAUUGCCCUCAAAUGCACCACACAGGGGUCGGCACAGCGGCCCACCAUGGCUGACGUGGUGACGCAGCUACAGGAGUGUGUGGAGCUCGAGGAGGGCCGCGCUCCUAGCUUCCACACCGGUGGCAGCAGCGGUGACGAUAAUCACAAUGCUUACGGUAGUGCGCAGUCCACCAACGUGAGCAGUAACACUGCAUUCGAGACGGAGCUGAGGAUACCAACCGUGGCCACCGAUCCAGGCCCGACAGCACGUUGA
rnacentral:rRNA from 1 species